GACGAACCACCCAAACGUUAAUCGGAAUUACUGGGCGUAAAGCGUGCGCAGGCGGUUUUGUAAGACAGAUGUGAAAUCCCCGGGCUCAACCUGGGACCUGCAUUUGUGACUGCAAAGCUAGAGUACGGUAGAGGGGGAUGGAAUUCCGCGUGUAGCAGUGAAAUGCGUAGAUAUGCGGAGGAACACCGAUGGCGAAGGCAAUCCCCUGGACCUGUACUGACGCUCAUGCACGAAAGCGUGGGGAGCAAACAGG
rnacentral:rRNA from 1 species